GCUCUGGUGGUGCAACAGUUAAGCACUCGGCUGUUAACCGAAAGGUCGGUGGUUCGAACCCACCAGCU
rnacentral:tRNA from 1 species